rnacentral:rRNA from 1 species
UGCGAUACGUAAUGCGAAUUGCAGAAUUCAGUGAGUCAUCGAAAUUUUGAACGCAUAUUGCACUUUCGGGUUAUACCUGGAAGUAUGUCUGUAUCAGUGUCCGUA